UUUUGUCUCUUGGUAUAUGCUGAGCCAAAAGACACAACCAAGCCAAAGAUGAAGAGAAGGAAGGUGUGAUUACUUGCAGCAAGUGAGGAGAACACAGGGGAUCUUUCCCAAAGCAGUGUCUCCCCAAUAGCAAAACUGGGGAAGUUUUAAGCUGAGGGUACACGCAUAUUCAUGAAGGGGCUCGAG